rnacentral:piRNA from 1 species
UCCCAGUCACGCCUCUGACUCUGCUGCCU